UACGGGGGGGCAAGCGUUGUUCGGAAUUAUUGGGCGUAAAGCGCACGUAGGCGGACCAGCAAGUCGGAUGUGAAAUCCCUCGGCUUAACCGAGGACGUGCAUCGGAAACUGCUGGCCUUGAGUACGAAAGAGGAUCGCGGAAUUCCCGGGUGUAGAGGUGAAAUCGUAGAUAUCGGGAGGAACACCGGUGGCGAAGGCGGCUGCUGGGCCAGUUC
rnacentral:rRNA from 1 species